rnacentral:rRNA from 1 species
GGAUUGAACGCUGGCGGCAGGCCUAACACAUGCAAGUCGAGCGGCAGCACGGGUACUUGUACCUGGUGGCGAGCGGCGGACGGGUGAGUAAUGCCUAGGAAUCUGCCUGAUAGUGGGGGAUAACGUUCGGAAACGGACGCUAAUACCGCAUACGUCCUACGGGAGAAAGUGGGGGAUCUUCGGACCUCACGCUAUCAGAUGAGCCUAGGUCGGAUUAGCUAGUUGGUAGGGUAAAGGCCUACCAAGGCUACGAUCCGUAACUGGUCUGAGAGGAUGAUCAGUCACACUGGAACUGAGACACGGUCCAGACUCCUACGGGAGGCAGCAGUGGGGAAUAUUGGACAAUGGGCGAAAGCCUGAUCCAGCCAUGCGCGUGUGUGAAGAAGGUCUUCGGAUUGUAAAGCACUUUAAGUGGAGGAAGGCAAUUAACCUAAUACGUUAGUGUUUGACGUUACGACUAGAAUAAGCACGGACUAACUCUGUGCCAGCCAGCCG